GACAAACAUAACAGAAAAAAAUAGCUUUUUAAAAAAAGACAAUUGCUAUCUCUUUAAUCUUCUUUUGUUUGUUUUGCACACAGCCACUGGUGGCGUUUGGAGGGUGAGGAAGUGGGAGGAUGGUGGCAUGACUAUUAACUGGGACCCUGAGGUGGUUGUACAGCUCCUUUCCUUGUGAAUGCGAGAACAAGGAAGCUGAAAAUAAGGCAGCUCCAUAAGCUGGAGAAAAAUGGACCAUCGCACAAUAGAUUCAGCCUUUGGAUUUGGAUUCUAUCAGCCUCUAUAAUCAAUGCUGAUCACCCUCGGAUGGAAAGAGCAGUAACGAUUCACAUCGACGAUGACACCUGGCAGGAAACCCAUAAGAUUUAUGGUCAGAUGACUCCUGGAGAAUUACUUCCUCUGGUUAUGACUGACUUCAAAGUACAAGAGAAUGUGUAGUGAAGUUGUUUUGAGACCGAGAAAACAUUACAGAGGAAGAGUUGAUGUACGAGUAAAUGAAAUAUAAGGAGGUAUUCACCUAAUGAAUACAACAUGUGGAAAACAACAUUCACGCUCAGAGGAAAGUGAACUUGGCAUUUCCAGAAAUUAAGGAGAGAAGGACUUGGUGGAUGGAUAUGAGACCACAGGGCAACCAGGUCAAGAGAUGAGUAGUAAGUGUUGUUAAGGUACUUGGAGUGUUAUUAUUUUGAUGAAACAGUACUUUAGAAGAGUUUCUGGGUCAGCUUUGCAAGAUAGGAUAGUUCACACUAGUAGUGUGGAAGACAAAUUCACUAAGAGCGAGCCAGGUGACAGGGAGAUUAGUUAAAAG
rnacentral:lncRNA from 1 species